AUUGUGGGUCAUUUUUAGCUGCUAGCCAUGUAUGAUAUUGGACUUCCUCGGGUAGUUUUGGCACUGUCACUGGUGUUGAUGUUGCAAGGCAUAGGCUGGCGCCUGGCAGCUUGGUGCUCAUUGUUGUCUAUUUGCUACUGAUAUACAACUUUUUUUUCUUUGAUUUGUCGGGGCUCAGUCGAAUACCCAAUAUGUAACAGACUCUAAUGGAAGUUAUUGUUUCUUGAUUUUUGUGUUGUGCCUGUCUAGAUGAGUUUGCAGUUCUGUGCAUAUUCUUAAAAUAUCAUUCUUCAUAGUUUUGGAUAGGGAUUAUGUGUGGGAUAAGAACUUAGAUACAUACAAAGAGUGGACAUCUAGGAGGCCGUUGAAAGAAAGGGAAGGGCAAACAAGCCAGAGGAUAAUGGUGACUUGCUGCUAGUCUGACAAAUUCAAUGUCCCAAACUUAUAUAUAGUGGACUGCAUUCAAUACGCUGUGGUUAGGCUCAGUCAAAGGAGUUAUAUCACAGUGUGAAGAUAUCUGUGUAUAGUUCUCCAUUAUCUGCAGAUUACAGCUGAUGGUUAAAUUGUGAAUCAGGUCCUUGUGGAUGCAGAUUGCACACCUGAUGGAUAAAUUAUGCACAUCCAGAAAUUGGAAAAUUGGGGCUGGACAAUCCUUCAGCAAUGUGUAGUUGAUGCGGUGGAAAUGAACAAUAUAAAUUAUCUUCAGGUUCUGGUGCAUAUUUGCUUAAAGACACUCUGUGUAGGUUUCAUUUUGGAACGAGUGCAAUGGUGUGUUCUUUGUGUUCUUAAUUUAUUGGACUUGAGAUUAGAAGAAACUGUCAAUAAAACCUUCUGCAGAGUUUUUAGAGCUUGUGCUUCUAUAGAUUUCCAUAAAGUUAGAAGAAUGAUUUUAUUGAUAUAUAGGCAUGUAAUUGUAUUAUUUGCAACUUGUACAUGAUGUCAAGUUUCUAGAUAUAGCACCACUUUUUAGGAAUUGACUGUAUAGAAUUAAUGAUAAAGUAUUUAGAACACAAAAUUUUAGCUUAUCUAGAUUAGGAAAAUUAUGUGAUGAUUAUGGAAUGUGGUUCUUGCUUGUUUUUCCCACUUCCUAAUUCCUAAGAAACAAAUUUUGUGAGUUGAGAUGCGUUAUCCGUAGUCAUUAGAUGAAAAUGUCCUGUUUUAUCCAUUCAUAUGGAUCUUCUUUCUCAGAUCUAAAUCCAACUCGCUUCUCAUUUUUGACAGUUACCUAUUCAGUAUUAAGUAGUAAAAGACUGUAUAAAGAAAAAUCUGCAUCAGGCGAUCUUGCAGUUGAAUUAUUUCACUACUUGUAAUUAUGUUCUUUAUACUUUUGUGAUAAAAUGAUUAGUUUCUUCUUGAGUUUCUACGUGUGCAAUUAAGAAUGUAUCGCAAAUUGCGGGUCAUUUUUAGCUGCUAUGUAUGAUAUCAGACUUCCUUGGGUAGUUCUGGCACUGUCACUGGGGUUGAUGUUGCAAGGCAUAGGCUGGCGCCUGGCAGCUUGGAGCUCAUUGUUGUCUAUUUGCAGCUGAUAUACAACUUGUUUUUCUUUGAUUCGUCGGGGCUCAGUCAAAUUCCAAAUAUGUAACAGACUCUUAUAGAAGUUAUUGUUUCUUGAUUUUUGUAUUGUGCCUGUCUAGAUGAGUUUUCAGUUCUGUGCAUUUUCUUAAAAUAUCAUUCUUCAUAGUUUUGGAUAGAGAUUAUGUGUUGGAUAAGAACUUAGAUACAUACAAAGAGUGGACAUCUGGGAAGACUUUGAAAGAAAGGGAAGGGCAAACAAACCAUGGGAAAAUGCUAACUUGCAGCUAGUCUGACAAAUUCAAUGUCCCGAACUUAUAUAUAAUGGACUGCUUUCUGUACGCUGUGGUUAGGCUCAGUAAAAGGAGUUAUAUCACAGUGUGAAGAUAUCUGUAUAUAGUUCUCCAUUAUCUGCGGAUUACAGCUGAUGGUUAAAUUGUGAAUCAGGUCCUUGUGGAUGCAGAUUGCACACAUGAUGUAUCAAUUAUCACAUCCAGAAAUUGGAAAACUGGGGCUGGACAAUCCUUCAGCAAUGUGUAGUUGAUGCGAUGAAAAUGACCAAUAUAAAUUUUCUUCAGGUUCUGGUGCAUAUUUGCUUAAAGACACUCUGUGUAGGUUUCAUUUUGGAACGAUUACAAUGGUGUGUAUUUGUGUUCUUAAUUUAUUGGACUUGAGAUUAGAGGAAACUGUCAAUAUAACCUUCUGCAGAGUUUUAUAGAGCUUGUGCUUCGUCUAGAUUUCCAUAAAGUUAGAAAAACAAUUUUAUUGAUAGGCACCUAAUUAUAUUAUUUGUAAGAGUUUCAAGCAAUAUAACCUAGAGUUAUACUUGUACAUGAUGUCAAGUUUCUAGAUAUAGCACCACUCUUUAGGCAUUGACUGUAGUCUGUAUAGAAGAUUUACAUCUUGGUUCUGUCAACUAUUUGUAUGGCAUCAGUGUUUUAUCAUCAGUAGCAAGUUCAGGACAGUAGAUUCUUUCUUCAGUCUGAUUUGAAACCUAUGAGGCAUGACUUUGGUGUCACUCCUUAUUAGUGAUGUCUAUACUAUCUAUACAUUGUCGCAUGGCAGCACCUGCUCAUUGCUAAUCCUCCUCUUUCUCAAUUUUUUUCCUCAUAUUCUCCUUGCAGUUGCUACCGCAGACAAAUGGUUUUAAAUUGCUUAAAAUUAAAGGUCUCUUGUUUGCAGAACUUGCAGCUUUUACUAUUCCUUGGAUUGAAACUUUUAAAUUUGGAACAAGGCCAAGAAAUCAUAUAUGUCUUUUUAGUGAUGUAGUUUAAGAGCUGCUUCUGAAAAAGGAUGUGGAGCAGUACCUCUUGCAAAAUAAACUGCUG
rnacentral:lncRNA from 1 species